GCUACCAUGAGGGAUUGAUCUCUUUUGGGGGGUUGUUCCUCUUGGAUUCUUCUUAGUGACCCCAGGAUAAGGCUUACGGAGUAGUUUGCGUAAGUCAGAGGCAGCUCUAUCCCAUUGAUCUGACAGAACAGGGAAGGAGCUCCAAAGAAAAAUCACAGAACCUAUGAUUGACACUGUCUGUGUCAUUGAGAGAGAAAAGAUUUAACAAAGGGAAAAACCGUACAACAGCAGCUGGGAGAGAGGAGUUAGACAAUGUGAGACAGAGCCCCGCAGAAACCGGGGUCAGUGAAGAAAGAUGGUCAGAAAGCGUUCCAUGCACAGAACAGAAGAUCCCUGCAGCCCAGGAGAGGCCCAUGGAGGGCAGUUGGAGAAGAAUAACAUUCUGCCGAGGAGAGACCUCAUGCUGGAGCAGGCAAGGAAGAGUGAGAAUGAGGGAGCGGCAGAGUUGAAGUGUUAUAAACUUAUUGGAAACCUCUGUGCUGCCUGGGGACAAGAGAUAGAAGAGGAUGCGGGGGAAAGUAAUUUUUAAUUUUCCUUUUGUUUCUCACUGUUUUUUUGUUAUUAGUAGGCACUGAAUUGCAUGAAUCUCUCUAUACUGAAUAUGUUUCUCUUUUGUCAGUAAUUGGUGAGUGAUCUCCCUGUCAGUACAUAAACCCUUGAGCUUACAUUUUGUUCCAUUGUUCCUCUAGGAUAUUGAGUGAGAUAGCAGUGUGGUAGAGUUUAGGUAACCAUCCAUGUGGAGCCACCACAGAGCCUAAAUCAGGGAAAAACUGAAAUGAGAUAGGAAGAGUCAAAAUCUGGCACCUGUAUGGAAAUUUCAAUUUUCUCCUAAAUGUAACAUAUGUAAUACUCUCCAUAAUCAAGCUAUUUGGUAUUACAGAGAACUUUGGUACUGGAUGCUAUAGUUUAUAACAGGGAACAAAGGCACAGCUGUCCCAGAUUUUUCCAGCUCUGUGAUCUGCCUUAUUCCGUGUCCAGUUUUAACUGGGCAUGGAUAAGAUUUCUGUAUUCUGCCAAAGGACAGUUACAUACGUAGCAUUCUGCAUUCUCAAUCUUCAAAUAGCCAACACUGAAGAAAAAAAGAUGAGUCUUUUCACGUUUAUUCUUGUGUGCAGGUGUGUGGGGUAAUUCAUAAUCAGAUACUAGACUGGAAAAGGAAUAGAUAUG